UCCCUGAUGGACUAGUGGUUAGGAUUCGACGCUUUCACCGCUGCGGUCCGGGUUCGAUUCCCGGUCAGGGAA
rnacentral:tRNA from 1 species